AGCGCGGAAACUCGACAAACACCUACUGACUGAGGAGAGGAAGCGCGGAAACGAGACAAACACCUACGGACUGAGGAGAGGAAGCGCGGAAACUCGACAAACACCUACUGGCUGAGGUGAGGAAGCGCGGAAACGAGACAAACACCUAAUGACUGAGGCGAGGAAGCGCGAAAACAUUGACUGGCUGAGGAGAAGAGCACGGAAACGCGAAAAACACCUAUUGACUGAAGUGAGGAAGCGCGGAAACUCGACAAAUACCUACUGACUGAGGAGAAGAAGCGUGGAAACGAGACCAACACCUACUGGCUGAGGGAGACUCCAUGGGGUCUGACUUGCCAUUGCUCCUGCAUCCGGCCCCGGCCUCUCCCCGGGUUUUCCUGCCGCGCGGUUGCCUGCAACAGUUGACAAAGAGCUUUGGACAAUCAGCCUGUCAUUUGACCUCCCAAACAAUGCCAGGAAGGCUCUCCUACGACUGCCAUUCUACACAGAAGGAAAAAGCCGCUCCAGAAAAAUAAGCUGCUAAAAGGAUGCUGCGGGAACCAGACUGGCCACUCUGAAGUGCUGGAACAAGCCCAGAGAUCCCUGAGGCUGCUCUGAGUCCAUCACUGGCCUUGGUCAGAGUCUUUUCCCCUCCUUUUUCUGGACGCUUCCAGAUGGUGAAAUACUGAAUGGAAGGGGAAGGGGCUGUGAGACUGUAGAGAGCCCUGAACAAGGAGUCAGAGUACCAGAAUCUUAGUGUGAGGAGGACAGCUGCGGUGUGGGUCUAUAGAGAUGCUCUGGAGACAGCUGGUCUGGAAAGUGGCAUCACUCUGCUUUUUCCACUGAGACAAGGGGAGAGGGGCUGAUACUCACACUCAGUCUGGAAGGACUGGAAGGUUUCGGCCAGGAGAAGAGGAAGAAGGACAUCACUGACCCGGAUAGCAUCAUGUCCGAAAGCUGUCCUAAGGCCUUUCUGAAAAUAGUUCCUGCAGGCGAGAACAGAGGGCGUGGGAGGCUGUGACUACAGAGGAGGGUGUGGUUUGGACUCUGACCUCCUGUGUCUCUUGAGGGGAUUUGGACUUCAUCCUGCCGAGCCUGAUGGGUUACUAUGACUGGCCUGGGUUACCAGCUCUUAACACGAGGGUGCAGGAGUCACAGACUGUUUUACAGCAAGAAAUGUGUAUCUGGCUGGUGGUUGUGGGUAUUGGUGUCAUCAGACAGAUACAGUUUCUUUUUUUUUCCUAGCUAUAAACUGCAAGCAAUGUAUUUAACCUCACUAAGCCUCAGUUUUCUCACCAGUAAAAUGGGGAUUAUGUUAUGUGCUAUGAGAAUUAAAUGAAAUUAUGUAGGUCAAACCCUUUGCCUUUCUUCUGACAGUGACAAGUAGCUACUGUUAUCCUUGCAAGUACUUCAAUGUGUGUGACCACAGGGCUGCCAUAGGAUAACAAGGAACUGCCUCCCUUCUGAUGCCUUCCCUUCUUCCCUUUAUGCUUGCUUGGCUUUUGACUCAUUAGAAUCCUGCUUUUUUCCUCCUUCUCGACAUCACUUCCUUCCUUAAUGUCCCGGUCUAGACUUUAAUGUCAGUUUCGAUCUUAACUCGCUCUCCUGCUCAGUUUGUUCCUUUCCCGGUCCAGCCAGGGUCAGACCAUCUCCAAAGCCCCAGCAUUGUGCUCUGCGAGAGCCACACAACACUGCGUAGCGUGUCCUCUGGCCCCAGCACCUGCAUGCUCUGCAGCCGUGGUGUGGGGCCCGGCCCUGCGGACGCCUUAUACGCAGCCCUGACCACCCCCCCGCCCACUCCACGGUCCUUCCCACCCCUCAGAACCCGGAGCCCGCUCCUGGCCGCCUUUCUUUCAGCAGACAGGCUCCUCUUCAGCAGCAGAGAUCACAGAAACUAGCAGGAGGGAGCUCUGCUUCCUGUCCUGGCACCGAAAACUGUAUGUCCAGUCUCCAUUCUGCAUGCGACAGAAUCCCUCUCUUCUCAGGUCUUCUGGAACAUUCUUUCAUCAACCAUCCCCUUAGCUUUCAGUUUCUUCUCUACUGAUUUCAUCACAGUCUAUAAACACAUUCAACUGUCUCCCACAGAGCAUGCUCCAUCUUUCCUAAUAUCAUCUGAAUACAUGCCUAUUCUUUUUAACAACGACACACACACACCAUGUGUCCACUGUAUAGAACACACUUCUCAGUGGAUCUUCCAAGCCCAGUUCCUCCUUUAGAACCAAGUUUUAAGUCACCUCUUCAAAGAGCCUUUCCCUGACCAGCCAAUCCAGGGAGUGUCCUCUCCCUCGUUAUCAGCUGUCAGCCUUCUUCACUUUGGCCACAUCCUUUACCCCGUGUAAAUAUUUCCUGAAUAAAGAAAUGAAUGGAUGAAUGGA